CACGUAGGGCGCAAGCGUUUGUCCGGAAUUAUUGGGCGUAAAGAGCUCGUAGGCGGUCUGUUGCGUCCGCUGUGAAAACUCGGGGCUUAACCCCGAGCCUGCAGUGGAUACGGGCAGACUAGAGGUAGGUAGGGGAGAAUGGAAUUCCCGGUGUAGCGGUGAAAUGCGCAGAUAUCGGGAGGAACACCGGUGGCGAAGGCGGUUCUCUGGAACGGUACUGACGCUGAGACGCGAAAGCGUGGGGAGCGAACAGG
rnacentral:rRNA from 1 species